ensembl:snRNA U1 U1 spliceosomal RNA
AAACUCACCUGGCAGAGGAAACACCAUGACCAUGAAGGUGGUUUUCCCAGGGUGAGGCUUAUCCACUGCACUCCGGAUGUGCUGAGCCCUGCGAUUUCCCCAAAUGUGGGGGACUUGGCUGCAUGAUUUGUGGUAGUGGGGGACUGCAUUUGUGCUCUCCCCUG